rnacentral:rRNA from 1 species
CGCCUCUUGCUCAAAUAUAAGAGGUCCAGCCUGCCCAGUGACUUUUCAACGGCCACGGUACCCUAACCGUGCUAAGGUAGCGCAAUUACUUGCCCUUUAAAUGGGGGCCCGAAUGAAUGGCAUCACGAGGGUUGCACUGUCUCCUCACCCCAAUCAGUGAAACUGACCUCCCUGUGAAAAGGCAGGGAUAUUAAUAUUAGACGAGAAGACCCCAUGGAGCUUCAGACUUAGAGCAAGUCAGACAGCUAAAGUCCUAGACCUAUGUCUCCACAGUCUUCGGCUGGGGCGACCAUGGAGAAAAAAUCAACCUCCACGCCGAACGGAUAUUUCCUUAUCUACGAGCAACACCUCCAAGAAACAGAAAACUGACGCCCACUGAUCCGGACUCCGAUCAACGAACCAAGUUACCCUGGGGAUAACAGCGCUAUCUGCCUCGAGAGUUCAUAUCGACAGGCGGGUUUACGACCUCGAUGUUGGAUCAGGGUGUCCUAGUGGUGCAGCCGCUACAUAAGGUUCGUU